GUCUGAGUUUUAAAUUUGAAGACGCAAAUUAAAAUUAGAAUUAAGUUGUAGCUCCAGCGUUUAGUAGAAAUAGAUAUACCAGAUAGUUUUCUAUAAUGCGACAAUAGGGAUUCCAUUAAAUGAGAUAAUUAAUAUUUAAUAUUAAGUUAUAGAUAGAAAUUUAGUUUUAAUUUAUAAUUUAUUUCAAAUUAAUUAAAUAGUUAGGAGGGUUAGUUUAAAUUGUAGAAUAAAUGUUUAAUUAUUAAUAAAUUAUUUAUUUUAUAAUUUAUUUUAAGAUAUCCCAGAAUAGCAGGGUAUUAAUUUAAAAUCUUAAAAUUGAUUUUUAAAUUUAAGUAAAUUAUUAAGUCUCUGUCAAUAAUAAAGUAAUUAAGCAAGUAAGUUAAGAAGUUAAUUUUCUGUUAAAUAAUACGAUGGAAACAUGUCAGUUAUAUGACGUCGAUAAUUUUUAUAAAGUAACUCGUCUAGCUGG
rnacentral:rRNA from 1 species